rnacentral:pre_miRNA from 1 species
CACGUACUCCCUCCGUCCGAAAAUACUUGUCAUCAAAAUGGACAAAAAAGGAUGUAUCUAAAACUAAAAUACAUCUAAAUACAUCCCCUUUUAUUCAUUUUGAAGACAAGUAUUUCCAGACGGAGGGAGUACAUG